rnacentral:rRNA from 1 species
ACAACUUUCAGCAACGGAUCUCUUGGCUCUCCCAUCGAUGAAGAACGCAGCGAAAUGCGAUAAGUAAUGUGAAUUGCAGAAUUCAGUGAAUCAUCGAAUCUUUGAACGCACCUUGCGCCC